GCAGGAGGACGGGGCAGCCUGCAGGGGCAGCCGCUCCUGCUCUGUAGCUCGGUGGCCAGGGGUGGAAAGAAGCCGCAAGCCGCAGCCGCAGCCCCAAGUCAGCCCCCGCUGCCCCGUCCCACCGUCUCAUCUCUCCCCCCUCGGCAGUUUUACUGUGACCCAGCAACUCUAAAAUGCAGCUUUCUAUGCAAGAAAGACCUAUGUGAUAAUUAAGAGGCUCCUUCCUUAAGAAUGAUGGUUUCUGCAGUGCUGGGAGUGUGGACUAUUCGAAGUAGACUAAUUCAAGAAACAUGUUUGAUCUGAAAAGUCUCAUUAAUCACUAAUUAUAAGGUCAGACAUAUUUAUAUUUGUAGUGUCCAUCCUUUCUAACAGUUGGUAGUUAUAACAUCUGAUUCUCUGAUUGCUCUAAUUUUGUCAUUAAGCAAUGAAUUAAAAUAUGAAAUCCCUAGGACUGGUGAUAUAGGUCCAUGGUAGACAGCUUGCCUAGAAUAUACGAAGUCCUGUGUUUACUUAGCAACACUAAAAUGUACUAAGGUAAGAGGUAGGAUACGAAAGCUCUUCAUUAAGAUUAUUUCCAGGGACCAGGGUAAUAUUCACUCUAAAUGAUCAUUUAGAGAGACUGAAAAAUAAGAAUAGCUGUCAUCUUUCUAUGGCACUAAUUAACUGGGGAUCCUAACGAACUGAGAAAAUCAGCUUCAGUAAACUGCUGGAAAACGGAUCAAGUCUCAUUGCAAAUGCAGACUCUGACAAUAUGAGUAUAAGCAUUCAGGUCAAUUUUCAGGCCAGACCCUGACUCGUGGAACAUAGUUCAGUUGCAUUAGAAAGUCU